rnacentral:tRNA from 2 species
GCCAAGGUGGCAGAGAGGCUAUGCGGUCGCCUGCAGAGCGACUCCACUCCGGUUCGAAUCCGGACCUUGGCU